AUGCCGGUGUGUCACUGUUCGUCCAGCCAGUUCCCGGUGUCUGGACAGCCGUACCUGCGCAUGGGUCCAGUGCCAUACAGCGCUCAGAGUCAGAUUCCUCCCGCACCCCCGCAGCAGCCAGGUUACCAAACUGUGAUCAAAUCAGCAGCAGAACUACCAGAACAUGAUGCAGCCGCCGCAGAACCAGAUGCAAGUCAUGAUGCUCCAGCAUCCGUCAGUGCCAUCUUAUCAGCUCCUCCGUGGGGUUCCUGCCUCCUCCAGGAGCGGAGCAGAUGCUGUUCCACCGCACCACGGCUCCCUGCGGCUCGCAACAGAUUCCCGCGCAGCAGUGCUCAGGAGCUCCGCCCCCAGCAGCAGGUGGACUGGUGUUACCUGUGUCCCAGCAGCCUCCUUACUUCAGCUCCGAUCACUCACGCUCUCAGAAGCACAGCGACGUCUGCAGUCUGCAGCCAACACGAUAUCGUCAAAUCCUCCUCCUGCUGGUGCUCUUAUUGAUCCGCAGGGACUGGAGCUGCUGGAGCCCAUGAUAAAGGACAGCUUUAUCUUCUUCUGGAGGUCCGCUGAGGCUGUGACCUGGCUCUGUGCCAGCGAGAUUAUUAACGUGUAAUAGCUCAGCCGAGAACGAGCUCCAUCUCUCAGCGUCCAGCUUCUGUUUAUUCAGCAGUAUGAUGUUUUAUCAGAAAACCUCCAGCGUCCAGACCUUCUGUUACACUACUGUAGAAGUGUGCAAUAACGCAGUAUUUCCAGCUAAAAACAUUGAAGUUACAGCAGAAGACUUCAGAGCUUCUUCACUCCGAGAUCUCUCUCAUCAGAUAAAAACUGCUGCAGUAUGAUAACAACACACAGAGAAAGCACCGAGACCAGAAAAUGGAGCCUGCUUUCUGCAGUCUUUCACAUUAUAUAGCAAAGUUUUUAAUAUUUGCAUUAUUAAAAUAUUUUAAUGUCAAUUUCAGUGUUGUUUUAGUAUUAUUCAUAUGCAAUUAUCAUUUCUGUUAAUAUUUAAAGUUGGAUUUUAUUUUUAUAAAAUAAUAAAAAAAAAGUUUUUAUAUCCUUUAUUUUUUUU
ensembl:lncRNA